ACUCUUUUCUCUAAUACCUUGCUAAUAUACCUAUGCUCGCUAAGAGUGGAGUUGUUAUUUAUGUUAAUAGAACUUCCUAAGAAGUAAUCUAGCUUUACAUGAAUGGUUCAACUUAAGGAGAGUGCAUGUCAUGUUGGAGUCGUAUGUUGCUAUGAGUCUUCAUCUUAGAGGUGUCAAAGUUCCCUAUUGAAUAAUUGUAAGCUAAUGUGGUUUCUUAUUGAUUUAUUGCCUUUAAAUCAUUUAUCCUUUCUUUCAUUCAUUCUUCUUUACUUUUCCUUUCCCCUCUUAAGACUUUGCCUGCAAUGGUGUGUUAUUCUCUACUUUUAUCACCUUUUGAUUCUCUCCUUCUAUCAUCGCGUUUUGGAGCUUUCCGUUGGCUACUUGAAUGUUGUUUACAAUUUUUUAUUUUUUUUUUUUUUUUCCUGACAUUACCCAGAUUCAAUGCCAACUAUCAGGGUUUUUGCUAUUCUCAUUUCAUUUUUAAUAUUUUCUUUAAUAAGGCUCAUAUCCAAUAACUUCAUAAAACAAUUCUACUUCUUAUAUCUUAUGCUGCUAGAUUUUUUUUUUUAAAUGGAUGAAGAACCUUUGUAAACACAUAGGGCACCGCGUGUAAUUCUGUUGUGGGUCAUGGUGCAGGUUUACUAUCCAAUUUUGAAUUGAAAUGUUUGAUUUUGAAGACAUUAUGACUAUCUAUUUUUUUUCUACAAUUUGUCGUUAACCCGUUUCUGCCUGAACUUUCAUAUGGAUUAGUUGCUUUGAUUAUUUAAAUUUAAAAUUAUACUGCCCUCUUCCAUUUACUUAAUACUUAAUAUAUCUUGGGUUUUUUCUGUUGCCAUUUUGUCAAGUAGAAUUUCCAGCAACUGGUGUUGUGCUUGAUCAGUUUGAAUCAUUUUGUUUUCAGUAGGUCCUUUCGAAAGGCAAAGUCGUGAAGAACUAAAGAAGUCCAUAAUGGAGCUUAUAGUUCUAGUUUCAAACAUUAUCCACACACCAGCGUAGGUAAGAGCAACGAACCAAUAAAAAAGUUUGGAGGAAAGAGGUUGCUGCCAAGGGGAGCUACAAUCCAAGUGGAUUGGGCAUAGACAACCACUUGGAUUGUAUGUUUAGAAUAAUUUCUCUGAAAUAUUAGUUUUAUUUGAUGAUUAUGUAAAUAUUAAGUCUUUGUAUGGAUUUCUUUCAUGUUAAUACUUUUGGAUGAUAUAAUUAUUAACUGUUGUUUGGUUAGAUCUAGUAAUGUGUAAGAACAGGGUCAUUAUACUAUGCAUGCCAGCAAAAUGAAAAUUUUUUUUUCUA